UACGAAGGGGGCUAGCGUUGCUCGGAAUCACUGGGCGUAAAGGGCGUGUAGGCGGGAAGGAAAGUCAGAUGUGAAAUCCCUGGGCUCAACCCAGGAACUGCAUUUGAAACUCCCUUUCUUGAGUACCGGAGAGGAAGGUGGAAUACCUGGUGUAGAGGUGAAAUUCGUAGAUAUCAGGUGGAACACCAGUGGCGAAGGCGGCCUUCUGGACGGUAACUGACGCUGAGACGCGAAAGCGUGGGGAGCAAACGGG
rnacentral:rRNA from 1 species